CUACGGGGGGCUCCAGUGAGGAAUAUUGCACAAUGGGGGGAACCCUGAUGCGGCAACGCCACGUGGAGGAUGACGCAUUUCGGUGUGUAAACUCCUUUUAUAUGUCAAGAAAAUGACGGUAGCAUAUGAUAAGCACCGGCUAACUCCGUGCCAGCAGCCGCGGUAAUACGGAGGGUGCAAGCGUUACUCGGAAUCACUGGGCGUAAAGGACGCGUAGGCGGGUUGGAAAGUCAGGUGUGAAAUCCUACAGCUUAACUGUAGAACUGCACUUGAAACUUCUAAUCUAGAGUAUGGGAGGGGGAGAUGGAAUUAGUGGUGUAGGGGUAAAAUCCGUAGAUAUCACUAGGAAUACCUAAAGCGAAGGCGAUCUCCUGGAACAUUACUGACGCUAAGGCGUGAAAGCGUGGGGAGCAAACAGGAUUAGAUACCCGAGUAGUC
rnacentral:rRNA from 1 species